UACGUAGGGGGCUAGCGUUGUCCGGAAUCAUUGGGCGUAGAGCGCGUGUAGGCGGUCCGGUAAGUCCGCUGUGAAAGUCGAGGGCUCAACCCUCGAAUGCCGGUGGAUACUGUCGGGCUUGAGUACGGGAGAGGCGAGUGGAAUUCCUGGUGUAGCGGUGAAAUGCGCAGAUAUCAGGAGGAACACCGAUUGCGAAGGCAGCUCGCUGGAACGUUACUGACGCUGAGACGCGAAAGCGUGGGGAGCAAACAGG
rnacentral:rRNA from 1 species